rnacentral:rRNA from 1 species
GACGAACGCUGGCGGCGUGCCUAACACAUGCAAGUCGAACGGAAAGGCCCUGCUCUUGUGUCGUGCUCGAUUGGCGAACGGGUGAGUAACACGUGUGUAACCUGUCCUUGACUUUGGGAUAACUUCAGGAAACUGGGGCUAUUACCGGAUAGGAGCUCCUGCUGCACGGUGGGGGUUGGAAAGUUUCGGCGGUAGGGGAUGGUCUCGCUGCUUACCCGCUUGUUGGUGGGGUAGUGGCUUACCAAGGCUUUGACGGGUAGCCGGCCUGAGAGGGUGAACGGCGACAUUGGGACUGAGAUACGGCGCAGACUCCUACGGGAGGCAGCAGUGGGGAAUAUGGCACAAUGGGCGGAAGCCUGAUGCAGCGACGCCGCGUGCGGGAUGACGGCCUUCGGGUUGUAAACCGCUUUCGCCUGUGACGAAGCGUGAGUGACGGUAAUGGGUAAAGAAGCACCGGCUAACUACGUG